rnacentral:rRNA from 1 species
AUUGAACGCUGGCGGCAGGCCUAACACAUGCAAGUCGAACGAGUGGCGGACGGGUGAGUAAUGUCUGGGAAACUGCCUGAUGGAGGGGGAUAACUGCUGGAAACCGUAGCUAAUACCGCAUACCAUCGGAUGUGCCCAUAGGUGAUUAGCUAGUUGGUGGGGUAAAGGCUCACCUAGGCGACGAUGCCUAGCUGGUCUGAGAGGAUGACCGGCCACACUGGAACUGAGACACGGCCCAGACUCCUACGGGAGGCAGCAGGGGGGAAUAUUGGGCAAUGGGCGAAAGCCUGAAGGAGCAACGCCGCGGGUAUGAAGAAGGCCUUCGGGUUGUAAAACUCUGUCGGCAGGGAAGCGGUACCCGAAGAGGAAGCACCGGCUAACUCCGUGCCAGCAGCCGCGGUAAUAC